rnacentral:rRNA from 1 species
AGCGAACGCUGGCGGCAGGCCUAACACAUGCAAGUCGAACGAACUCUUCGGAGUUAGUGGCGGACGGGUGAGUAACGCGUGAGCAACCUGCCUUAUGUAGAGGGAUAACAUUGGGAAACCGGUGCUAAUACCUCAUAAUAUAUUUGAUAAGCAUUUAUUGAAUAUCAAAGGAGCAAUCCGACAUAAGAUGGGCUCGCGUCUGAUUAGGCAGUUGGUGAGGUAACGGCUAACCAAACCAUCGAUCAGUAGCCGGACUGAGAGGUCGAACGGCCACAUUGGAACUGAGAAACGGUCCAGACUCCUACGGGAGGCAGCAGUGGGGAAUAUUGGGCAAUGGGCGAAAGCCUGACCCAGCGACGCCGCGUGAAGGAAGAAGGUCUUCGGAUUGUAAGCUUUUGUCAACAGGGAAGAAGAAAGUGACGGUACCUGUGGAGGAAGCCACGGCUAACUACGUGCCAGCCGCCGCGGUAA